AAUAAGUGCAGUUUUACACUAUUCACGUUCAACGUUUGACCGUCCGUCUUAUUUGAAAAUUUUGUGAAAAAAUUAAAAACAUUUAGUCACAUAUAAAGUACUAUUCAUGUUUUAUCAUCUAAUAGCAAUAAAAAUACUAAUCAUAAAAAAUUUUCAAAUAAGACGGACGGUCAAACGUUAAACAUGAAUAGUGUAAAACUACAAUUAUU
rnacentral:pre_miRNA from 1 species